GUUGAAAGAACUGCCUGUUCAAUCUCUGCAAGAGUAUGAUAGUAAAGUCAAAGGUUCUGCCAUUUUUGCAAUUUGAGUGGGCAUCAUGUGAGUCCAUUAUGCGAUAUUAAGCGAAGGAUGCGUGCAGGUCUUUCGAAGCUCUGAAUUUGGUGCGGUAUCAAACUAUUUAAGCCUAGCGUACAGGCAAAGCGAUUCAGUUUGGCAUGUGGUGCAGUCUAAUUGGCCAGGCUAUCAUACUCUUGC
rnacentral:misc_RNA from 1 species